AUUGAACGCUGGCGGCGUGGACUAAAGCAUGCAAGUCGAGCGAACCCGCAAGGGUGAGCGGCGGACGGGUUAGUAAUACGAUCGAACGUGCCCUGAGGCGGGGGAUAGGCGUGGGAAACUGCGACGUAAUACCCCAUGAUCUCUCCGGAGCAAAGGUUUACCACCUUGGGAUCGGCGAUCGUCCUAUCAGCUAGUUGGCGGGGUAAAGGCCCACCAAGGCUA
rnacentral:rRNA from 1 species